AGUUAUAAAGCUUCCAUUUAGCCAAGCAUGUGCCUUGAAAACACAAGAAAGGAGUUAAAUUCUCCUAAUAACUU
rnacentral:tRNA from 1 species